rnacentral:rRNA from 1 species
AUGCUCUACGUCCUCCACAAGCUGGACGACGUCGAGCUCAUGUUCGGCGGCCCGGCCAGGGUGUGCCGCUCCUGGCACGACGCCGUGUGCGAGCCCGAGCUGUGGCGCCGGAUCGACAUGCGCGGCCGCUCCCUGUGCUUCCGGGAGACGGUCAGCCUCAAAAAUAUGGCGCAGCUCUCCAUUUGGUUCAGCGCCGGGCAGUGCCGAGAGUUCUUCGGCCAGCACGACGUCGACAACGAACUCCUCUUCCUGGCUGACCGGGCACCCUUAUUGAAGAGUCUUCAUCUUAUCAAGCAUUGUGAUGUAAGUAGUGAAACAUUUGCAAAGGCAAUAAUGAAAUUCCCUUUGUUGGAGGAGCUCGAGCUUUGGGAAUGUGAGACACAUGACACCGGGGUCUUUGACCUUGUUGCCAUGGCUUGUCCACAACUGAAGCACUUAAAACAUGUCAAAGAUAGAGGAUAUUCGCAAUAUAUCUGGCUUGAAUACCCUACUGAUAACAGUGAAGCCUUAGCAAUUGCGAAGAUGCAUGAGUUACGCUCCCUGAAGCUUUUCCACGGUGGCCUCGACAACCAAGGAUUGACAACCAUCAUUGAUGGAUGCCCUCAUCUGGAGUACCUUGACAUACGGUAUUGCAACAACAUAAUCAUGGACAGCAGUAUGUGA